AUGAAGCCGGAAUUGCUAGUAAUCGCGGAUCAGCAUGCCGCGGUGAAUACGUUCCCGGGCCUUGUACACACCGCCCGUCACACCAUGGGAGUCGGUAACACCCGAAGCCAGUAGCCCAACCGCAAGGAGGACGCUGUCGAAGGUGGGAUUGAUAACUGGGGUGAAGUCGUAACAAGGUACC
rnacentral:rRNA from 1 species